UACGGAGGGUGCAAGCGUUGUUCGGAAUCAUUGGGCGUAAAGCGCGUGUAGGCGGCUUGGCAAGUCGGUUGUGAAAGCCCGGGGCCCAACCCCGGAACUGCAUCUGAAACUGCCUGGCUAGAGUCCCGGAGAGGAAGGCAGAAUUCCCGGUGUAGGGGUGAAAUCCGUAGAUAUCGGGGAGGAAUACCAGCGGCGAAGGCGGCCUUCUGGACGGUGACUGACGCUGAGACGCGAAAGCGUGGGGAGCAAACAGG
rnacentral:rRNA from 1 species